rnacentral:rRNA from 1 species
UUAAGCGACUAAGCGUACACGGUGGAUGCCCUGGCAGUCAGAGGCGAUGAAGGGCGUGCUAAUCUGCGAUAAGCGCCGGUAAGGUGAUAUGAACCGUUAUAACCGGCGAUACCCGAAUGGGGAAACCCAGUGUGAUUCGUCACACUAUCAUUAACUGAAUCCAUAGGUUAAUGAGGCGAACCGGGGGAACUGAAACAUCUAAGUACCCCGAGGAAAAGAAAUCAACCGAGAUUCCCCCAGUAGCGGCGAGCGAACGGGGAGGAGCCCAGAGCCUGAAUCAGCAUGUGUGUUAGUGGAAGCGUCUGGAAAGGCGCGCGAUACAGGGUGACAGCCCCGUACACAAAAGCGCAUGUGCUGUGAGCUCGAUGAGUAGGGCGGGACACGUGGUAUCCUGUCUGAAUAUGGGGGGACCAUCCUCCAAGGCUAAAUACUCCUGACUGACCGAUAGUGAACCAGUACCGUGAGGGAAAGGCGAAAAGAACCCCGGCGAGGGGAGUGAAAAAGAACCUGAAACCGUGUACGUACAAGCAGUGGGAGCACCCUUUGGGGUGUGACUGCGUACCUUUUGUAUAAUGGGUCAGCGACUUAUAUUCUGUAGCAAGGUUAACCGAAUAGGGGAGCCGGAGGGAAACCGAGUCUUAAUUGGGCGUUAAGUUGCAGGGUAUAGACCCGAAACCCGGUGAUCUAGCCAUGGGCAGGUUGAAGGUUGGGUAACACUAACUGGAGGACCGAACCGACUAAUGUUGAAAAAUUAGCGGAUGACCUGUGGCUGGGGGUGAAAGGCCAAUCAAACCGGGAGAUAGCUGGUUCUCCCCGAAAGCUAUUUAGGUAGCGCCUCGUGAAUUCAUCUCCGGGGGUAGAGCACUGUUUCGGCUAGGGGGCCAUCCCGGCUUACCAACCCGAUGCAAACUGCGAAUACCGGAGAAUGUUAUCACGGGAGACACACGGCGGGUGCUAACGUCCGUCGUGAAGAGGGAAACAACCCAGACCGCCAGCUAAGGUCCCAAAGUCAUGGUUAAGUGGGAAACGAUGUGGGAAGGCCCAGACAGCCAGGAUGUUGGCUUAGAAGCAGCCAUCAUUUAAAGAAAGCGUAAUAGCUCACUGGUCGAGUCGGCCUGCGCGGAAGAUGUAACGGGGCUAAACCAUGCACCGAAGCUGCGGCAGCGACACUGAUGUGUUGUUGGGUAGGGGAGCGUUCUGUAAGCCUGUGAAGGUGGCCUGUGAGGGUUGCUGGAGGUAUCAGAAGUGCGAAUGCUGACAUAAGUAACGAUAAAGCGGGUGAAAAGCCCGCUCGCCGGAAGACCAAGGGUUCCUGUCCAACGUUAAUCGGGGCAGGGUGAGUCGACCCCUAAGGCGAGGCCGAAAGGCGUAGUCGAUGGGAAACGGGUUAAUAUUCCCGUACUUGGUGUUACUGCGAAGGGGGGACGGAGAAGGCUAUGUUGGCCGGGCGACGGUUGUCCCGGUUUAAGCGUGUAGGUGUGUGUUCCAGGUAAAUCCGGUUCACUUUAACACUGAGGCGUGACGACGAGGCACUACGGUGCUGAAGCAACAAAUGCCCUGCUUCCAGGAAAAGCCUCUAAGCAUCAGGUAACAUCAAAUCGUACCCCAAACCGACACAGGUGGUCAGGUAGAGAAUACCAAGGCGCUUGAGAGAACUCGGGUGAAGGAACUAGGCAAAAUGGUGCCGUAACUUCGGGAGAAGGCACGCUGACACGUAGGUGAAGUGAUUUACUCAUGGAGCUGAAGUCAGUCGAAGAUACCAGCUGGCUGCAACUGUUUAUUAAAAACACAGCACUGUGCAAACACGAAAGUGGACGUAUACGGUGUGACGCCUGCCCGGUGCCGGAAGGUUAAUUGAUGGGGUCAGCGCAAGCGAAGCUCCUGAUCGAAGCCCCGGUAAACGGCGGCCGUAACUAUAACGGUCCUAAGGUAGCGAAAUUCCUUGUCGGGUAAGUUCCGACCUGCACGAAUGGCGUAAUGAUGGCCAGGCUGUCUCCACCCGAGACUCAGUGAAAUUGAACUCGCUGUGAAGAUGCAGUGUACCCGCGGCAAGACGGAAAGACCCCGUGAACCUUUACUAUAGCUUGACACUGAACAUUGAGCCUUGAUGUGUAGGAUAGGUGGGAGGCUUUGAAGUGUGGACGCCAGUCUGCAUGGAGCCGACCUUGAAAUACCACCCUUUAAUGUUUGAUGUUCUAACGUGGACCCGUAAUCCGGGUUGCGGACAGUGUCUGGUGGGUAGUUUGACUGGGGCGGUCUCCUCCUAAAGAGUAACGGAGGAGCACGAAGGUUGGCUAAUCCUGGUCGGACAUCAGGAGGUUAGUGCAAUGGCAUAAGCCAGCUUGACUGCGAGCGUGACGGCGCGAGCAGGUGCGAAAGCAGGUCAUAGUGAUCCGGUGGUUCUGAAUGGAAGGGCCAUCGCUCAACGGAUAAAAGGUACUCCGGGGAUAACAGGCUGAUACCGCCCAAGAGUUCAUAUCGACGGCGGUGUUUGGCACCUCGAUGUCGGCUCAUCACAUCCUGGGGCUGAAGUAGGUCCCAAGGGUAUGGCUGUUCGCCAUUUAAAGUGGUACGCGAGCUGGGUUUAGAACGUCGUGAGACAGUUCGGUCCCUAUCUGCCGUGGGCGCUGGAGAACUGAGGGGGGCUGCUCCUAGUACGAGAGGACCGGAGUGGACGCAUCACUGGUGUUCGGGUUGUCAUGCCAAUGGCACUGCCCGGUAGCUAAAUGCGGAAGAGAUAAGUGCUGAAAGCAUCUAAGCACGAAACUUGCCCCGAGAUGAGUUCUCCCUGAGACUUAGAGUCUCCUGAAGGAACGUUGAAGACGACGACGUUGAUAGGCCGGGUGUGUAAGCGCAGCGAUGCGUUGAGCUAACCGGUACUAAUGAACCGUGAGGCUUAACCUU